AUGUUCUUGUCGACGGUGAGCUUGUUGAGCGUGAGGGUGCCCGUCUUGUCGCUGCAGAGCACGUCCAUGCCGGCCAUCUCCUCGAUGGCCGUCAUCCGCUUGGUGAUGGCGCCCUGCUGCGAGAGCUUGUGGGAGCCGAUGGCCAUGGUGACGGAGAGCACGGUGGGCAUGGCGAUGGGGAUGCCGCCGAUGAGGAGCACGAGCAGGUUGUCGAUGCCGUCGCGGUACCGGCGGUGCUGGAUCGGGUACAUGACGACGAUCUCCACCAGCAUGCCGAUGGCGAUGGACACGAUGCAGAAGUUGCCGAUCGCAUGUUUGAGUGGAAAAAAACGAGUUACCUUUUGGAAGUGGCCGACGUUGUUGGUGCUGUCGACGAGAUGCGCGGCCUUGCCGAAGAAGGUGUGGACGCCGGUGGCGAUGACGACGGCCUCGAUCUCGCCCUGCUUGCACGUGGAGCCGGAGUACACGCUGUCGCCGGGGAGCUUGUUGACGGGGAGGGACUCGCCGGUGAGCGCCGACUGGUCGAUCUUGAGCGGGUCGCCCUCCAUCAGCCGCGCGUCCGCCGGGAUGAUGUCGCCCAGCUUGAUGCUGAUGAUGUCGCCCGGCACCAGUAUCGCCGCGUCCUGCUCCGCCCACUUGCCGUCCCGGAGCACCUUGGUCUGCGGCGCCAGGCUGGCCAUCAGCGCCGCCGCGGCGUUGCCGGCGUUGUUCUCCUCGAUGAAGCUGAUGGUGGAGUUGAUGAUGAGCAGGGUGACGAUGCCCACGAAGUCCUGCCAGUCGGGGGGCUUGCCGCCGCCGUUGGCGAGGGCGAUGGCCAUGAUCGCCGCCGCCUCCAUGACCCACGACAGAGGGUUCCACAUGAACCCUAAAAACUUGAGGAACUUGCUCUCCUGCAAACCCACACACAGCGCCAUGAAAAAUGGAUCAAAUUAA
rnacentral:rRNA from 1 species